rnacentral:snRNA from 1 species
GGAUGUGAGGGCGAUCUGGCUGCGACAUCUGUCACCCCAUUGAUCGCCAGGGUUGAUUCGGCUGAUCUGGCUGGCUAGGCGGGUGUCCCCUUCCUCCCUCACCGCUCCAUGUGCGUCCCUCCCGAAGCUGCGCGCUCGGUCGAAGAGGACGACCUUCCCCGAAUAGAGGAGGACCGGUCUUCGGUCAAGGGUAUACGAGUAGCUGCGCUCCCCUGCUAGAACCUCCAAACAAGCUCUCAAACCUUAAUGAUACACUUGAUGCUCCCAUUAAGUCCUAAGAAUAUAUAUGUAGAUAUACAUAUACAUACAUAUACACACAUAUACAUAUAUGCAUACACACAUUUAUAU